UACAGAGACCUCAAGCGUUAUCCGGAAUCAUUGGGCGUAAAGCGUACCGAUAGGUGGUUUAGAAAGUUUUGGGUAAAAGCCAGAAGCUCAACUUCUGAGUUUGCUCAAAAUACUUCUCAACUAGAGGGGCGAAGAGGUCCUUGGAACGAACGGUGUAGUAGUGAAAUGCGUUGAUAUCGUUCGGAACACCGAAAGCGAAGGCAGAGGACUGGGUGCCACCUGACACUACUAGGACGAAAGCGUGGGGAGCGAAUGGG
rnacentral:rRNA from 1 species